rnacentral:rRNA from 1 species
UUUAUUACGAGAGUUUGAUCCUGGCUCAGGAUGAACGCUGGCGGCGUGCCUAACACAUGCAAGUCGAGCGAAGCGCAUAAGUUAGAAUCUUCGGAGGAAGACAUAUGUGACUGAGCGGCGGACGGGUGAGUAACGCGUGGGUAACCUGCCUUACACAGGGGGAUAACAGUUAGAAAUGACUGCUAAUACCGCAUAAGACCACAGUACUGCAUGGUACAGUGGUAAAAACUGAGGUGGUGUAAGAUGGACCCGCGUCUGAUUAGGUAGUUGGUGGGGUAACGGCCCACCAAGCCGACGA